rnacentral:rRNA from 1 species
AAAUUGAAGAGUUUGAUCAUGGCUCAGAUUGAACGCUGGCGGCAGGCCUAACACAUGCAAGUCGAACGGUAACAGGAAACAGCUUGCUGUUUCGCUGACGAGUGGCGGACGGGUGAGUAAUGUCUGGGAAACUGCCUGAUGGAGGGGGAUAACUACUGGAAACGGUAGCUAAUACCGCAUAACGUCGCAAGACCAAAGAGGGGGACCUUCGGGCCUCUUGCCAUCGGAUGUGCCCAGAUGGGAUUAGCUUGUUGGUGGGGUAACGGCUCACCAAGGCGACGAUCCCUAGCUGGUCUGAGAGGAUGACCAGCCACACUGGAACUGAGACACGGUCCAGACUCCUACGGGAGGCAGCAGUGGGGAAUAUUGCACAAUGG